AUACAAAUCAUUUGGGAGUGUUAUUAAAAUGUAGAUUCUGAUUCUAUAAGGGUUAGGACUAUGAGUCUCUAAUAGGCUCUCAGGUGAUUCUGAU
rnacentral:pre_miRNA from 1 species